GAACGCUGGCGGCGUGCUUAACACAUGCAAGUCGAACGGAAAGGCCUCUUUCGGGGGGUACUCGAGUGGCGAACGGGUGAGUAACACGUGAGUAACCUGCCCUUGACUUUGGGAUAACUUCAGGAAACUGGGGCUAAUACCGGAUAGGAGCUCCUGCUGCAUGGUGGGGGUUGGAAAGUUUCGGCGGUUGGGGAUGGACUCGCGGCUUAUCAGCUUGUUGGUGGGGUAGUGGCUUACCAAGGCUUUGACGGGUAGCCGGCCUGAGAGGGUGACCGGCCACAUUGGGACUGAGAUACGGCCCAGACUCCUACGGGAGGCAGCAGUGGGGAAUAUUGCACAAUGGGUGGAAGCCUGAUGCAGCAACGCCGUGUGCGGGAUGACGGCCUUCGGGUUGUAAACCGCUUUCGCUCAUGACGAAGCUUUGUGUGACGGUAGUGGGUAAAGAAGCACCGGCUAACUACGUG
rnacentral:rRNA from 1 species